GCGAGAAAAGUCCUAUGUAUUAUUGAAACAAUGUUGCGAUUGUUUGUGAGAAUGCCAACAGGUGUGGUUCCCGUGGGGGAAAGAUUCUAUUGGGGAAAGGUUCCGGUGGAGGUUUCCAUGGAUGCCAAGAAGGGAGUGAGGCUCUGCCGUCCAUGACCUGCAGUCCAAGGUGAAGGCACUCUCCCAGAAAUCCAGUGGGAGAGAGAGAAAGAGGGAGUGGGAGGACAAGAGGGCCUUAGUGCUCCAGACAGGGGGGCCUGUCUCGUCCCAGGCAGAAGGCCCGCAUUAGGGGGGAGGUGCCACAGCCCGUGCCCUCCCGGUGCUUUGACCAAAGGAGGAGGUCCAGCAGUAGUGAAGACGAUGUGGUGCAGGAGAUGGUGGCCAGGGUACAGCUCCACACCUACCUGACUGAACCACAGAGGGAGCAGGAGAGCGUAAAUGACUUUGAACAAAUCAAUGAAAGCAGGCUGGCCACAGCUGGAAAACCAUGUCAAAAUGAAUUUUUGUCAGAGCUACAGAUUGAAACAUAGGCUACAGCAAAGAUGCUAAGAAAGCAUAUGACAUCCGAUCACACCUCUCCCGUGAGAGUGGAAGUAGUGGGUAAAUACGAAGCAUCACAAAGCUAAGCUACAGACACAACAUCUUCCUUACAUCCAGGAGUGGAUGAGUAUGCAGAUGACAGGGAUAAGGGCGUGUCAUGCUCUCUUGGCCACUAAAGCAGAUAGAGCAGAGGAUCAAGUGGAAUACAGUGGAUAAAGUACAAUACAGGGGCUAAGCUACGCUGUUGGGCAUAUGACGCUCCUCUCCUAAUGCUCGCCACCAUGCUCCAGUCCUAUCUGAUUUUAUAUAAGAAGGCUUAACGUUGAAGAUUCGGGCGUUCAUAGCUCCACUCUCUAUAAGUCUAUCCGUAGGGCAUAUGAUGUUCUCUGGAUAUGUACCGGUGCAGAAUCAGCUCGGUACAACUGAAGGCCCCAGAUGUGUGGUGCAGGCAAAUGAGUCGAGAAAAAAAUACACUUCAUUUGUGUGGGUUCGGAUCCCACCGCUGCCAUCAAUUAUGCAAGGCGGGGAUUCAGUAAAGGGUAGGGCAACUGCAUUCUUCAAUGGUGUUGUAGCAACAUCAUAGAGGUAGAUAGAUGGCGCACUUGGACCAAAAGCCUGCUUUAGCAUGGGCAGCACCAUUGAGGACCUUCACAAUUUCGAAGUAGUCAACUAGGUGGAACUUGCUAUGGGUUAAUAAGGAAGAAUCACAGAAUUCCAACCAGGUUAGCAGCUUUAAAACUGUUCAGACUAUACAUACUCCAGCAUUUAUUUAAAAACCGCUAAUGCACCAAUAGAAGAAGAAUAAAUUGACUACUUUAAAAUGGAGCUAGCCCCCAAUGGUGUUACCCAUGCUGUAACAGAAGACGCCUUUACGAAGAUAAAGGGGGUGCUAUCUUUCCAUAUCUAUCAAUAAACAAACAUGUUGCCACUUCAAUUACUAGCUCAAAGACAACCCUGAUCCCAAGUCAUCCCAAGAAACUAUUCAAGUAUCCCACAGGGUGAUUGCGCCCUCUCCUGGCAAGGAUUGGUAAGACAUUUAUAUCACCUAUAUACAGUGUGUAUAUAUAUAUCUCCCUUUCCCAUUUACCCUCCGUCUCUAUGUGAUUGACAGGUCACACGUCAACCCUGACAAAAUUCCCCUGAGCCCCAGACACGAGUGGGCCAUGCUACUACUGGAGAAGGCUUGGUUAAAAGCCCACUUCAAUCACACCAAAGGGCCCCCAACCCGCCGAGCCCAUUCUGCCCAGAUAUAUAACCCGACAAUGACCCAAAACACACUUCCAGGCUGCUCUGUCUGUACACAUUGCCAAUGUGUGUGGGAGGUCUAUGGCAGAGUGGGAUGGUAGACCCAAACUCUCACUGCGACGGUUCUUCUCCUUCGUUGGGCUGCACAGUGUGGGCAGGCUGGUGAAGGGAGGGCGCUCCAGCAGCAUGGAACAGCUCAGUAUCUCAGCGCCUCUGGCCAGCUCCGCCUCACCCAACGCCCGCCAGCAGAGGACCCCCUCACUACAGGCACUGUGCACAGUAAGCACCAGUCCUUCAAUUCAGGUGUCCCCACUGGCCCAGCUUCGGAAGCCUCCUCUGUGCAGGGUCUGGAGAGGAGAGUGGAGCGUUCAACCAUUCUGGGAGGGGUGCCUGUGACUUAAAGCCUGGCACCCAGGUACAGAGACAAAGAGAGAGAGAGAAAAAAGAGAGAGAAAAAGAGAGAAAAAGAGAGAGAAAAGAGUUUCAACUGUACCGGGCAGAUGGCGUCAUGUGGGCGAGCGGUUUGCUGAUGUCAACGUUGUGAACAGAGUGCCCCAUGGUGGAGUUAUGGUAUGGGCAGGCAUAAGCUAUAGACAAUGAAUAAGAUUGCAUAUAAAUGGCCAUUUGAAUGCGCAGUAUUACCGUGACAAGCUCCUGAGGAUCAUUGUUGUGCCAUUCAUCUGCAGCCAUCACCUCGUGAUGCAUGAUAAUGUUUGGGAUGCUAUGAAUCGACAUGUACGACAGCGUGUUUCAGUUCCAGCCAAUAGUUGGAGCAGCUGUACACAGCCCAUUUGUAAAUAGCCCAUCCAACUACCUACCUCAUCCCAAUAUUUGUUUUUGUUUUUCUGCUCUUUUGCACACCAGUAUUUCGAAUUGCACAUCGUCAUCUGCACAUACAGAAUAUCACUCCAAUGUAAAUUGCUCAGUUGUAAUUACUUUGCCGCUAUUGGCCUAUUUAUUGCCUUACCUCCUUACUUCACUGCACUCUGUGUUUUUGUUUUUGUCGCACUGCUUUGCUUUAUCUUGGCCAGGUCGAAGUUGUAAAUGAGAACUUCUCAACUGGCCUCCCUGGUUAAAUAAAGGUGAAUUAUUUUUUUUUUUAUAAAAACAAAUAUCCAGCAACUUCGUACAGCCAUUGAAGAGGAGUGGGACAACAUUCCACAGACCACAAUCAACAGCCUCAUCAACUCUAUGCGAAGGAAAUGUGUCACGCUUGCAUGAGGCAAAUGGUGGUCACACCAGAUACUGACUGGUGUUCUGAUCGACGUCCCUACAUUUUUUUUAAAGUGAUCCAGAGAGCCCUGGGUGUGGAAGAGGUGUUAGCCCCACGGGUGGUGCGUCCCAUGGGGCGGGUCGUCCAGGACUUCCCUGAUGGGACCCUUCUCCCAGAGCCCCAUUUAUCUCCAUCCCUCUUAUCGCUCUCCCUCCACCCCUCUCUCUCCACCCCUCCCUCUCAUCUCAGGUGUGUAUGUGGAGCAGGUAGGGGAUGGUUCCUGGGCGCUGGGGAUGAGAUCCUGGAGGUGAACGGGGAGGCGGUGGCUGGACUGACCCUGGAUCAGGUGUCAGGUCUCAUGACCCGCAACAGCACCGCCUCUAUCUAUAUAUCCUGCCACUCCGUCGGAACCAGCGAUGAGCAAUGCAAUACUGGAAUAUACCAUUAUACAUUUCAAUAAAAAAAAACACUGGACACUGCCCUGUGAUGAUGUCAUGACGAAAACACGAAAAUGGAAAUUAGCAAGCAUAAUGAGAGAUUUUUUUUAACUCUGGGAGAACCAAAGGAAGGACAUAAUCAACCUAAUUAUAUUUGUCCAUUAUUAGGCCUAGUCUUUGAAGUUUCAGGCAAAUGUAAGUACUGGUAAAUCAAAACUGAUGUCAAAUAAAACAGGAGAAAGAAGAUGCUGCACCUAAUGAUCAUUUUGCAUUUCACAAUAAAUCACAUA